AUUGAACGCUGGCGGCAUGCUUUACACAUGCAAGUCGAACGGCAGCGCGGGCUUCGGCCUGGCGGCGAGUGGCGAACGGGUGAGUAAUACAUCGGAACGUGCCCAGUAGUGGGGGAUAGCUCGGCGAAAGCCGGAUUAAUACCGCAUACGACCUGAGGGUGAAAGCGGGGGAUCUUCGGACCUCGCGCUAUUGGAGCGGCCGAUGGCAGAUUAGCUAGUUGGUGGGGUAAAGGCCUACCGAGGCGACGAUCUGUAGCUGGUCUGAGAGGACGACCAGCCACACUGGGACUGAGACACGGCCCAGACUCCUACGGGAGGCAGCAGUGGGGAAUUUUGGACAAUGGGCGAAAGCCUGAUCCAGCAAUGCCGCGUGUGUGAUGAAGGCCUUCGGGUUGUAAAGCACUUUUGGCGGGAACGAAAAGGACUGUGCCAAUACCACGGUUCGAUGACGGUACCCGCAGAAUAAGCACCGGCUAACUACGUGC
rnacentral:rRNA from 1 species